GGCUGCUCUUGGGUGACAUGCCGGAAUUGGGCUCCCUCCUCUCUGGUUCCAGGGUGUGUCACCUGAGAACUGCU
rfam:Myotis brandtii contig243246, whole genome shotgun sequence.